AGUGAACGCUGGCGGCAGGCCUAACACAUGCAAGUCGAGCGGCAGCGCGGGGGCAACCCUGGCGGCGAGCGGCGGACGGGUGAGGAAUUCGUCGGAAUCUGCCUUUUUGUGGGGGAUAACGUAGGGAAACUUACGCUAAUACCGCAUACGUCCUACGGGAGCAAGUGGGGGACCGCAAGGCCUCACGCAGAAAGAUGAGCCGACGACCGAUUAGCUAGUUGGUGGGGUAAAGGCCCACCAAGGCGACGAUCGGUAGCUGGUCUGAGAGGAUGAUCAGCCACACUGGGACUGAGACACGGCCCAGACUCCUAAGGGAGGCAGCAGUGGGGAAUAUUGGACAAUGGGCGCAAGCCUGAUCCAGCCAUGCCGCGUGUGUGAAGAAGGCCUUCGGGUUGUAAAGCACUUUUGUCCGGAAAGAAAUCCCUGGAGCUAAUACCUUCGGGGGAUGACGGUACCGGAAGAAUAAGCACCGGCUAACUUCGUG
rnacentral:rRNA from 1 species